AGUGAACGCUGGCGGUAGGCCUAACACAUGCAAGUCGAACGGCAGCACAGUAAGAGCUUGCUCUUACGGGUGGCGAGUGGCGGACGGGUGAGGAAUACAUCGGAAUCUACUUUUUCUUGGGGGAUAACGUAGGGAAACUUACGCUAAUACCGCAUACGACCUACGGGUGAAAGCAGGGGAUCUUCGGACCUUGCGCGAUUGAAUGAGCCGAUGUCGGAUUAGCUAGUUGGCGGGGUAAAGGCCCACCAAGGCGACGAUCCGUAGCUGGUCUGAGAGGAUGAUCAGCCACACUGGAACUGAGACACGGUCCAGACUCCUACGGGAGGCAGCAGUGGGGAAUAUUGGACAAUGGGCGAAAGCCUGAUCCAGCCAUACCGCGUGGGUGAAGAAGGCCUUCGGAUUGUAAAGCCCUUUUGUUGGGAAAGAAAAGCAGCAGGUGAAUACCCCGCUGUUCUGACGGUACCCAAAGAAUAAGCACCGGCUAACUUCGUG
rnacentral:rRNA from 1 species